rnacentral:rRNA from 1 species
GACUUAGGACAAAGAUCCGGCUAUAUCAUGUAACAUAGAAAUAAUUCUAGAACUGAUUGAUAUAAAAUUAUACCGUCGUGCGCGUUAAAGAGGUAAGAUUGAUCCGUACUUCUUCCGCGGGUGGGUACUCGAUAAUUAGUCUUUCUGUUUGUUUUCCUCGCCUUCCUUGGUACUUCUACCGUCAAACGUUGUCGAUCCGUAAAACACAUUACGUCGUUUUUGUCGCAGAAAAUCAUAGUAAAACAUUUGGAUAUACCACGGAGCAGUAGACCCAUCAAACACAUUACCUCGUUUGUUACUUAACCGCCUGUACGUAGAUAGUAAAACAUUUAGAUAGUCCACUAAGGCACUGAUGUUGUAUUUACAACCCUACGACUACUCUUAAUUAAUUACACAAUA